AUUGAACGCUGGCGGCAGGCCUAACACAUGCAAGUCGAACGGUAACAGGAAGCAGCUUGCUGCUUCGCUGACGAGUGGCGGACGGGUGAGUAAUGUCUGGGAAGCUGCCUGAUGGAGGGGGAUAACUACUGGAAACGGUAGCUAAUACCGCAUAAUGUCGCAAGACCAAAGAGGGGGACCUUCGGGCCUCUUGCCAUCGGAUGUGCCCAGAUGGGAUUAGCUUGUUGGUGGGGUAACGGCUCACCAAGGCGACGAUCCCUAGCUGGUCUGAGAGGAUGACCAGCCACACUGGGACUGAGCCACGGUCCAGACUCCUACGGGAGGCAGCAGUGGGGAAUAUUGCACAAUGGGCGCAAGCCUGAUGCAGCCAUGCCGCGUGUAUGAAGAAGGCCUUCGGGUUGUAAAGUACUUUCAGCGGGGAGGAAGGGAGUAAAGUUAAUACCUUUGCUCAUUGACGUUACCCGCAGAAGAAGCACCGGCUAACUCCGUG
rnacentral:rRNA from 1 species